GUGGGGAAUUUUGGACAAUGGGCGCAAGCCUGAUCCAGCCAUGCCGCGUGAGUGAAGAAGGCCUUCGGGUUGUAAAGCUCUUUCGGCCGGGAAGAAAUCGGCGACUCUAACAUAGUCGCUGGAUGACGGUACCGGACUAAGAAGCACCGGCUAACUACGUGCCAGCAGCCGCGGUAAUACGUAGGGUGCGUGCGUUAAUCGGACUUACUGGGCGUAAAGCGUGCGCAGGCGGUUUUGUAAGACAGAUGUGAAAUCCCCGGGCUUAACCUGGGAACUGCGUUUGUGACUGCAAGGCUAGAGUACGGCAGAGGGGGGUGGAAUUCCUGGUGUAGCAGUGAAAUGCGUAGAUAUCAGGAGGAACACCGAUGGCGAAGGCAGCCCCCUGGGCCUGUACUGACGCUCAUGCACGAAAGCGUGGGGAGCAAACAGGAUUAGAUACCCGGGUAGUCC
rnacentral:rRNA from 1 species